GGUAGGAUGGCCGAGACUUAGGCGGUGGAUUGUAGCCCCACGAACAGAGGUUCAAAUCCUCUUCUUACCA
rnacentral:tRNA from 1 species